UUAAUAACUUUUAAUCAGACAAGAAUUUAAGUAGCAAGAGUUACAUACUGCAUUAUUGUCCGGAUGAACUGCUACGAGGAUAGACUUCCGGUUGAACCGUUGAAUAACACGGGAGAAUACUUUCAAACUCAUGGUCGUGCUAACAAACCAGUUCUACUGGCGACAUCGGAGAGAUACCAACGAUAGCUCAUUCAGUCAUCACCUUCAGCUUUAUGAUAAAUGAAUUACAACAUCCCGAGUAAUGAAUAGUGUUAGGCAGAUAUGAUAACAUUGAUAAAGAGCCAAAUAUGUAAUAUGUAAAUAAUUGUUAGGUUAAGAUACAGAUUUGUGGUUAUGAAAGUGGGACUUUAUUGUUCAUAAAAAAACCUGACUAGAAAUACUUUAAUAUUCUAUCAUUCAUUAUUAUGUCACAUUUUUCUCUCUAAUCUCUUUUCCGACAAGAAAUCUUUCAAAAUGAAAUCUAGUUAGAUCUGUAGUCUUAAAUUCGCCGUCCAAGAUCAUUUCCAUUGUCGCCCGAGCUACUCCUGGAGCUUGUUGAAUUCCUGAGCAAUGAUUUGUUUAAUAAUUCGUUUUAUAGUUAUUUACUCUUUCAGCCAACAUUUUAGUAAGUAUAACAGGCUUACCAAAUCCGCUGAACCCACAGGCAAAAUAUAUAUUUGGAUAAUACGGAUGAGGUCCAACAAUUCCAUUUUCAUCAAAAGUAUUAUAAUCAUAAUAACCAGCCCAUCCCGAAUUCAACUAUAAUCGUAAAUUUGAAAAUAUUAGAACGAUCACUUGAUUGCAUAUGUACACGGUAAAGAAUAGAAUACCUUCAAAUUUUUAAAACCAGGGACACGAUUAAUAAGUGAAGGAUAUACUGUUUUAUCAAAAUAUGUGUAGUCAACGUCCAAAUUUUCAACGUUUGGCUCGACAUCUUCUAAUGGUGGAGCCCGUCCAGCAACGUAAUGACCUGCAUACCCUUCUCGCCUGCAUUUACGUACCACAACACGAGUAUUUAGUAAUGACACAACAAUUAUUAAACCCAUGGCUACUUUCUACCUGAAAUACGUCCCGCUAGGAUCAAUCACCAUUGGACAAUCAAGGCCAGGGACUGAAGGACCUUGUGGAGCAUUAUAGCAAAAUACAUAGCGUUUCCUGAAAGAUGUAAUUUUGCCAAUAAAAAGGUUAAACUUACCUUGGUUCAACUGGCAAUGGAACACUCAACAUGCCUUCACCUCUACCAAUUCGAGCCAUGGCUGCAAUGUUACCGGACUCGUGUCCUGCGGCGAUAAUGCAAUAUGCAAAAUGAAUUGUUU